rnacentral:lncRNA from 1 species
UAAAAGCUUUUACAAAUUUUUAUUUUUAAAUAUACACCAAAAACUUUAUGAAAGUAAAUAUCCAUUAUGGUUCUCAACCACUUCAAAUACCACCAACACCAAAAAAAUUUAAUCAAGUGCACGAAAACUAUAAUAUAUUUAAAACUACAAUAAAUACAUUAGUUUAUGAAAAAUCUUUUUUAAAAAUAUUAUGGAUGCAUACAUAAAUAUUAAAAGAAAUGUAUAAAAGGAAAUAAAAGUAACAACAACUUGAAAAACAAAAUGUAUAAGACUAAAAAUAUUUAUGAUUUGUGGUCUAAGAUAUAUUCAACUUAUUGUCACAAAAAACUUAACAAAAAAUACAUACUUUGUUUUAAAAACAUUAAAAAUCACAUUAAAAUUUUUAACAUUUUAAGAAAAAUUAUGAAUCAAUAAUAUUAAUAUAAAGUUUUAUCCAAAAAACUCAGCACCAAAUACAUAAACAAAAAAACAAACAAACCCUAAAUCCUAUAAUCCUAAGCAUUAUUCUAAACCAAACCUUAAACCCAAUCUAAAACAAACGCUAAAUCUUUCCUAUUACCUAAACCCUAAAUCUUACUUAACCAUAAACCCUACAUAAACCUAGACCUUAACCCUAUGUAACCUUAAACCAUACAUAAACCUAACCCUAAUCCCUAAACACUUCAUACUACCUAAACCCUAAACCUAUCCAACCGUAAACCUACCUAACCCUAAACGUAAACCCUACCUAACCCUAAACCCUAUUUAACCCUAAACCCUAUCUAACCCUAAACCCUUCAUAACCCUAAAACCCUACCUAAAACCUAACCCUAAACCCUACCUAACCCUAACCCUAAACUCUACCUACCCUAAACUCUACCUAACCCUAAACCCUACUAACCCUAAACCCUACCUAACCCUAACCCUACAUAACCCUAAACCCUACUAACCCUACCUAACCUAAACCCUAUCUAACCUAAAACCUUUCUAACCCUAAACCCUACCUAACCCUAAACCCUACCUAACCUAAAACUUUUCUAACCCUAAACCCUACCUAACCCUAAACCCUACUAACCUUAAACCCUACUAACCCUAAACCCUAUCUAACCCUAAACCCUACCUAAUUCUAAACCCUACCCCUAACAUACUAACCCUAAACCCUAUCUAACCCUAAACCCUACCUAAUUCUAAACCCUACCUAACCCUAAACCCUACCUACCCUAAACCCUUCCUAACCCUAAACCCUACCUAACCCUAAACCCCGUCUAACCCUAAACCUGACCUAACCCUAAACCCUACCUAACCCUAUACCCUACCAAACCCUAAACCCUUUCUAGCCCUAAAUCGUACUAACCCUAAACCCUACUAACCCUAAACCCUUUCUAACCCUAAACCAUGCUAACCCUAAACCCUACCUAAUUCUAAACCCUACCUAACACUAACCCUAUUAACCCUAAACCCUACCUAACCUAAAACCUACCUAACCUAAACCCUACCUAACCCUAAAAUCGUUUUAACUCUAAACCCUUUCUAACCCUAACCCCUACUAACCCUAAACCAUACAUAACCCUAAACCCUACUAACCCUAAACCCUACCUAAUUCUAAACCCUACGUAACCCUAAACCCUACCUAACCCUAAACCCUACCUAACCUUAAACCCUACUUAGCCCUAAACCCUACUAACCUUAAACCCUACCUAACCCUAAACCCUACCUAACCCUAAACCCUA